CCUACGGGAGGCAGCAGUGAGGAAUAUUGGACAAUGGGCGCAAGCCUGAUCCAGCCAUGCCGCGUGCAGGAUGACGGUCCUAUGGAUUGUAAACUGCUUUUGCACAGGAAGAAACAACAUACGUGUAGAGUCUGACGUACGGAGAAUAGGAUC
rnacentral:rRNA from 1 species